CAAGUACUCCCUCCGUCGCAUAUUAAGUGACGAAAUAUUACAUGUAUCUAGACCUUUUUUGGGUAUAGAUACAUCCAUAUUUGGGCAAAUUUGAGUCACUUAAUAUGGGACGGAAGGAGUAUGAU
rfam:Brachypodium distachyon strain Bd21 chromosome 1, whole genome shotgun sequence.